CGUGAUGACGAGGCACUACGGUGCUGAAGCAACAAAUGCCCUGCUUCCAGGAAAAGCCUCUAAGCAUCAGGUAACAUCAAAUCGUACCCCAAACCGACACAGGUGGUCAGGUAGAGAAUACCAAGGCGCUUGAGAGAACUCGGGUGAAGGAACUAGGCAAAAUGGUGCCGUAACUUCGGGAGAAGGCACGCUGAUAUGUAGGUGAAGCGACUUGCUCGUGGAGCUGAAAUCAGUCGAAGAUACCAGCUGGCUGCAACUGUUUAUUAAAAACACAGCACUGUGCAAACACGAAAGUGGACGUAUACGGUGUGACGCCUGCCCGGUGCCGGAAGGUUAAUUGAUGGGGUUAGCGGUAACGCGAAGCUCUUGAUCGAAGCCCCGGUAAACGGCGGCCGUAACUAUAACGGUCCUAAGGUAGCGAAAUUCCUUGUCGGGUAAGUUCCGACCUGCACGAAUGGCGUAAUGAUGGCCAGGCUGUCUCCACCCGAGACUCAGUGAAAUUGAACUCGCUGUGAAGAUGCAGUGUACCCGCGGCAAGACGGAAAGACCCCGUGAACCUUUACUAUAGCUUGACACUGAACAUUGAGCCUUGAUGUGUAGGAUAGGUGGGAGGCUUUGAAGUGUGGACGCCAGUCUGCAUGGAGCCGACCUUGAAAUACCACCCUUUAAUGUUUGAUGUUCUAACGUUGGCCCGUAAUCCGGGUUGCGGACAGUGUCUGGUGGGUAGUUUGACUGGGGCGGUCUCCUCCUAAAGAGUAACGGAGGAGCACGAAGGUUGGCUAAUCCUGGUCGGACAUCAGGAGGUUAGUGCAAUGGCAUAAGCCAGCUUGACUGCGAGCGUGACGGCGCGAGCAGGUGCGAAAGCAGGUCAUAGUGAUCCGGUGGUUCUGAAUGGAAGGGCCAUCGCUCAACGGAUAAAAGGUACUCCGGGGAUAACAGGCUGAUACCGCCCAAGAGUUCAUAUCGACGGCGGUGUUUGGCACCUCGAUGUCGGCUCAUCACAUCCUGGGGCUGAAGUAGGUCCCAAGGGUAUGGCUGUUCGCCAUUUAAAGUGGUACGCGAGCUGGGUUUAGAACGUCGUGAGACAGUUCGGUCCCUAUCUGCCGUGGGCGCUGGAGAACUGAGGGGGGCUGCUCCUAGUACGAGAGGACCGGAGUGGACGCAUCACUGGUGUUCGGGUUGUCAUGCCAAUGGCACUGCCCGGUAGCUAAAUGCGGAAGAGAUAAGUGCUGAAAGCAUCUAAGCACGAAACUUGCCCCGAGAUGAGUUCUCCCUGAGACUUUAAGUCUCCUGAAGGAACGUUGAAGACGACGACGUUGAUAGGCCGGGUGUGUAAGCGCAGCGAUGCGUUGAGCUAACCGGUACUAAUGAACCGUGAGG
rnacentral:rRNA from 1 species